rnacentral:tRNA from 1 species
GGAGGGGUCGCAUAGCCUGGUCGAGUGCACCGGUCUAGAAAACCGGAGACCCGCAAGGGUCCGUGGGUUCGAAUCCCACUCCCUCCGCCA